CCUACGGGGGGCUGCAGUGGGGAAUAUUGGACAAUGGGGGGAACCCUGAUCCAGCCAUGCCGCGUGUGUGAAGAAGGCCCUCGGGUUGUAAAGCACUUUCAGUGAGGAAGAACGCCUGGUGGUUAAUACCCAUCAGGAAAGACAUCACUCACAGAAGAAGCACCGGCUAACUCCGUGCCAGCAGCCGCGGUAAUACGGAGGGUGCGAGCGUUAAUCGGAAUUACUGGGCGUAAAGCGCGCGUAGGUGGCUUGAUAAGCCGGUUGUGAAAGCCCCGGGCUCAACCUGGGAACGGCAUCCGGAACUGUCCAGCUAGAGGGCAAGAGAGGAAAGUAGAAUUCCCCGUGGAGCGGGUGAAAGCGUAGGGAUCGGGAGGAAUACCAGUGGCGAAGGCGGCCUUCUGGACUGACACUGACACUGAGGUGCGAAAGCGUGGGUAGCAAACAGGAUUAGAUACCCCGGUAGUC
rnacentral:rRNA from 1 species